rnacentral:lncRNA from 1 species
CUCCCCCAAAGUUGGUUCUCUCUUCACAAGUUCCAUAACUACCCAAGACGCGCGGGGGCGGGACAGGUGGGAACGCAUUAACAACACUUAAAUCUGAAGUUGACAGCCAAAGGUACCAGUUUGGUGGGGAGACUUUCUCAAGCUCCCUUACACACUGCUCGGCGUUUGCUUUUGCCGCUGUACAUUUCAGCUCAUUUCUUUUUGCUGCUGCUGCUGCUGCUGCUUUGCGCUGCUCCGUCACGCCUUUAUCUCUUCGCUGCCAAAGGAGCCCGAAGCAGGAUAAAUUCCACGAGAUUCCCCAGCGGUUUCGUUCCUGUCCGAGUCCACCCUACCUAGGGCUGCCAAGGUUGGCUGCGCGGCCAAAAUCCCUCCUGCAGGCCAGGCCCUCCCCCUCCCCCCGGCUUGGUUUUUCCCAGCUGUGGAGGUUGGGCCAGGGGCUGGGGUGCUUGGAGAGUCGGCGCUUGCAUCGCGGAGCCCGGAAGUCGCCCUGACUCUGGUGGGACUCCGAGUUGGCUUCGGAGGUGGCGGGCACGGAGGUCGCGCAGCGGAUCCACUGACUAGCGCCAAUAUCAAGAGGCAAGGAGGUGCCACCCAGGGCGGCGCUGGAAGUGGAGCGGGAGGAGGAGCGCGGAGACCUGCGUCCCUACCCGCCGUGCGUACUUUCUGGAGGGAAGGGCGGGGGAAUUAGCCCCGGGAGGGGGACGCUUGGUGGCAAGGGGGUUAUUAGCCAAGUUCCGGCUGCGGUGGUCCCCCUGGGCUCCCACAAGAGGAAAGUUUUCUCCAGACGUUUCCGGCCGGCUCGCUCCCUCCGGGCCCAGCCUCCUGAGCCUUCGGAGCGGGCGCCGUCCCAGCCCAGCU